CUUGAACCGGCCGUUCUGGAGCUCGGUGAACGUCGGCAAGCCCAGCAGCUGGGUCCCUUCUUUCUCCGCUUUACCAUCCUCCGCCGCCGACAGCGUCGACAUUGUCGCUGUUCACAGACACAGAGAGAGAGAGAGGGAGGGAGAGAGAGGGAGGGAGGGAGACGGAACUGUUUUCUUGUUUGAGUUCUGUUCUUGUUUCGUGAAAUCUUAUGCAGGUGGCGAGAGACAAUGCCAUAGGCAAGAGCUCGUUUUUGAGCAUUUCUUUUCCUUCCGGUGGCGGCUCCCACACCAAAAGAGGCCAAAAAGUUUCGGGACAAACGCCCAAAAGGACAGUAAUCGAAUCAUGAGCUGACCUGGGUUGGGGAUCUUUGGAUCAACGAUUCGGUCUGUGUUCUUUCGGAGGAAA